GCAAAACUUUUGAGAAGUUAAACAUUUUUUUAUGGUUCAUAUUGUUUUUGUGUUAUGUAUAGAGCAAACUAUGAAAUGAGCAGAAGGGGCUUACCCAUUUAGACUUCGUAGCAUUUAUUUAACCACAUCUUUGAGUAAAUCAUUUUGUAAAAUGUUUUCCAUCAUUUCUGAUGUUGGUAACUUGGAAGAUUACAGUAUUAUUCUCACAGUCCCCAUUCCCUAAAGGGUUGGAGAGACUAAGUCUUGUUUUUAAGGGCAUCUGGAAAUACCUUUCCCAGGUAUUUGAGAAAGGUCUUCAGGGCCUGUAAACCCAAGAAGGAAAUAUACUAAGAAUUACUAAACUUCUAAAUGUAUUUAUCUCUGCUGUACUAACAUGUAAACACUAUAUUGUGCAUUACCCUGUAGCUGGUUGUGGUACAUCAGUACAUUUUGUAAGUAUGUACAGACUGUGAGCAGUUGGUUUUCUAUUUUUAUGUGUAGGAAAAAACAAAAAACAAAAAAAACGCUGCAUCCCAUUUUAAGGCCAAGUUCUGUCAUCAGGUAGGCACAUGGCCGAAAGUGAAUAAAACCAACAGAAGUGUGCAUGUGUGUUAAGUGACAGAAUUUGUCCUUUCGUUUUUGAAGGUCAGAAAGGGCUGUUGUUUUCUUCUCUUAAUCAUCUCCCAGAGUAGAUAACAUAAUUAUCACAAAGGCUGAAUGCAGUCAUCAGUAGAUUGGCCUGUUACCAAAUAUGCCAGGGCUAAUUCCCCAUGCCAUUAGUCACAGGUAAGGU
rnacentral:lncRNA from 1 species